rnacentral:snoRNA from 1 species
ACCUUCUCAUGAGCUCCUCUUAAUCUUACCCAUGAUUCUGUGUGGAUUCGCACGAGAAGCAGAGCUAAUGCACAGUUAGAAUGAGCUCACCCAGGUUUUAUGCGGGUGUUGCAUAUGUCAGCUGUGCAACAAAU